rnacentral:rRNA from 1 species
UGGAGGAUGAAGGCCCUUGGGUUGUAAACUCCUGUCGGUUGGGAAGAAAUUGUUCGGGGCUAAUACCUCCGGACAUUGACUGUACCAGCAAAGGAAGCCCCGGCUAACUCUGUGCCAGCAGCCGCGGUAAUACAGAGGGGGCCAGCGUUAUUCGGAAUUAUUGGGCGUAAAGGGCGCGUAGGCGGCCAUGCGUGUCUUCCGUGAAAUCCCUCGGCUUAAUUGAGGACGUGCGGAAGAAACUGCAAGGCUUGAGUCCGGGAGAGGGGGGUGGAAUUCCCAGUGUAGCGGUGAAAUGCGUAGAUAUUGGGAGGAACACCGGUGGCGAAGGCGGCCCCCUGGACCGGUACUGACGCUGAGGCGCGAAAGCGUGGGUAGCAAACGGGAUUAGAUACCCCGGUAGUCCACGCCGUAAACGAUGGGCACUUGGUGUCGCGGGUAUCGACCCCUGCGGUGCCGAAGCUAGCGCAUUAAGUGCCCCGCCUGGGGAGUACGGUCGCAAGGCUGAAACUCAAAGGAAUGGACG